GAUGAACGCUAGCUACAGGCUUAACACAUGCAAGUCGAGGGGCAGCGCAGUGUAGCAAUACAUGGGCGGCGACCGGCGCACGGGUGCGUAACGCGUAUCCAACCUUCCCGUUACUCAGGGAUAGCCUUCCGAAAGGGAGAUUAAUACCUGAUGGUGUUGAAAUUCCGCAUGUUAUUUCAACUAAAGAUUUAUCGGUAACGGAUGGGGAUGCGUGACAUUAGGUAGAUGGCGGGGUAACGGCCCACCAUGCCUACGAUGUCUAGGGGUUCUGAGAGGAAGGUCCCCCACACUGGAACUGAGACACGGUCCAG
rnacentral:rRNA from 1 species